CCUACGGGAGGCAGCAGUAGGGGAUAUUGCUCAAUGGGGGAAACCCUGAAGCAGCAACGCCGCGUGGGGGAUGAAGGUUUUCGGAUUGUAAACUCCUUUUGUUAGAGAAGAUUAUGACGGUAUCUAACGAAUAAGCCCCGGCUAACUCCGUGCCAGCAGCCGCGGUAAUACGGAGGGGGCAAGCGUUACUCGGAAUCACUGGGAGGAAAGGGUGCGGAGGCGGGGUAAUAAGUCAGAUGUGAAAUCCUGUAGCUUAACUACAGAACUGCAUUUGAAACUGUUACUCUGGAGUGUGGGAGAGGUAGGUGGAAUGCUUGGUGUAGGGGUAAAAUGCGUAGAGAUCAAGAGGAAUACUCAUGGCGAAGGCGACCUGCUGGACCAUUACUGACGCUGAUGCACGAAAGCGUGGGGAGCAAACAGGAUUAGAUACCCCAGUAGUC
rnacentral:rRNA from 1 species